UACGUAGGGGGCAAGCGUUGUCCGGAAUCAUUGGGCGUAAAGAGCGUGUAGGCGGCCUGGUAAGUCCGCUGUGAAAGUCCAGGGCUCAACCCUGGAAUGCCGGUGGAAACUGUCAGGCUCGAGUCCGGAAGAGGCGAGUGGAAUUCCUGGUGGUAGCGGUGAAAUGCGCAGAUAUCAGGAGGAACACCAAUGGCGAAGGCAGCUCGCUGGGACGGUACUGGACGCUGAGACGCGAAAGCGUGGGGAGCAAACAGG
rnacentral:rRNA from 1 species